rnacentral:rRNA from 1 species
CUAAGUUUGAUGGCGGCCGGCGCACGGGUGAGUAACACGUAUCCAACCUGCCGAUGACUCGGGGAUAGCCUUUCGAAAGAAAGAUUAAUACCCGAUGGCAUAGUUCUUCCGCAUGGUGGAACUAUUAAAGAAUUUCGGUCAUCGAUGGGGAUGCGUUCCAUUAGGUUGUUGGCGGGGUAACGGCCCACCAAACCUUCGAUGGAUAGGGGUUCCGAGAGGAAGGUCCCCCACAUUGGAACUGAGACACGGUCCAAACUCCUACGGGAGGCAGCAUG